GUUAGCAUGUUGCUCGAGAUGCUUGAACGCUCAGUAAAAGAGACCGAAAACUCAACCUGAUGUCAUCCCUGUCUUCCCUGCACCACGGAUUCAUCUCAAGAUGGUAACAGAGAUUACUACAAGGGAAGUGAAAGAAAGUCGGUCAACAACUAACAGGAAAACUAGUUAGUCUGAAACCCCGGCUCUACUCCCGUCUCCAGACGCUUCCUGUUUGUGCGUUUGUACGUUCGUGAACGUUCCACCAGUCCUCCAGAGCAGCGAGCUGCGUCUCCUUUAAGAAUCUUUUCCUGUUCCCCUGGCGCGUUUCUCGCUUCACUUCAGAAGGUUCUCUUCUUUUUCAUCAUGAUUCUGAUAUAAAAGCGCCGUUCUGACUCCAGAGAGCAGAGUGAAGUCUCCGUGUCUCCAGGAUCUCUGCUCCAUCUGACUGGUCCACAGGAAGAAAUACAGGUGUGGUGCGUCGCCCACAUUGCCGCAGAGCCCUUGGGCCUUCUGGGACGUGGGCCGGUCCCCGUGCUGGUGGGGCGGGGGGCCACUGAGGACAGUCAGACCGGGGGCGAGGGAAUGUGACUGAAGAUGUCUGGUGUGGAUGAAGAGGAGGACAGAUCAGGUGUGGACAGGUUGUCUCUGAAGAGUAACUGGUCCAGAGAUGAUCCACCAAACUUCAGUGUUGAUCGUGGACCUUCGGACACAACACCCACAGCAGAGUCUUCAGGUUCCAGCAGGUUGUCUCUGAAGAGUGACUGGUCUAAACUACUUCCACCAGGCUUCAGUGGUGAACCUGGACCUUCAGACUCAAAAGAGAAGAGGACUGAUGUCUGUGAGGAGCAGCCAGAAAGAUCCAGAAGU